GAUGAACGCUGGCGGCGUGCCUAAUACAUGCAAGUAGAACGCUGAAGGAAGGAGCUUGCUCUUUCCGGAUGAGUUGCGAACGGGUGAGUAACGCGUAGGUAACCUGCCUGGUAGCGGGGGAUAACUAUUGGAAACGAUAGCUAAUACCGCAUAACAGUAGAUGUUGCAUGACAACUAUUUGAAAGGGGCAAUUGCUCCACUACCAGAUGGACCUGCGUUGUAUUAGCUAGUUGGUGAGGUAACGGCUCACCAAGGCGACGAUACAUAGCCGACCUGAGAGGGUGAUCGGCCAAACUGGGACUGAGACACGGCCCAGGCUCCUAAGGGGGGCAGCAGUAGGGAAACUUCGGCAAUGGACGGAAGUCUGACCGAGCAAAGCCGCGUGAGUGAAGAAGGUUUUCGGAUCGUAAAGCUCUGUUGUAAGAGAAGAACGAGUGUGAGAGUGGAAAGUUCACACUGUGACGGUAUCUUACCAGAAAGGGACGGCUAACUACGUG
rnacentral:rRNA from 1 species